UUUCACACCAACCCAUCACUCAUCUUUUCAACUUGCAUGACUUUAUGACUUUGUAUUUUAUCAAAAAACCACUCCCUCACACUACCAAAAACCGGCCACCCUAAAAGUAGGGUACUUUUGGGGCUUUUAUGCAAUUACAUAAAGUUUUGAUACUUUUGUGUAUUUGUACUUUGACCCGAAAGUUUACGUUUUUACGGAAAGGCCCAAAAUCACUAAAGGACAAAUUGUUUUGCUCCUUUAAUGAAGUUUUUGGGGUUCUAGUUGUAAUUACAUGAAGUAGUGGACUUUUGUGUUCUUACAAAGUGA
rnacentral:lncRNA from 1 species